UACAGAGGGGGCAAGCGUUAUUCGGAAUUAUUGGGCGUAAAGGGCGCGUAGGCGGCUUGGCAAGUGGAAGGUGAAAUCCCUCGACUUAACCGAGGAACUGCCCUCCAAACUGCUUGGCUUGAGACCGGGAGAGGUGAGUGGAAUUCCCAGUGUAGCGGUGAAAUGCGUAGAUAUUGGGAGGAACACCAGUGGCGAAGGCGACUUUCUGGCCUGUUCUUGACGCUGAGGCGCGAAAGCUAGGGGAGCAAACGGG
rnacentral:rRNA from 1 species